GGCCAGGGGACGCUGGUGGCGCAGUGCUUGGGGCAGCUCCCAGCCCCAGCAACUCUGGUCAUGGGGGUGGAGGUGCGGGUAUGGUUCCAUACCAGCAGAAAUCUGCAAGGAAGUGAACGUGUGUGUUGGGUCAGCAAAAAUCCCAUGAUGGGACCAGAACCUCCCUACCAAGGAGGAUGUUCUCACAGAUUCCCAGGGACAAGAUGACGGCAAUCUUAAAAUACCCGACAGAUGAAAGAAGAAGCAAAACCACCCUUUCUGUCUGAGAGAAUUGUGCAAUGAUGGCCCAAAGCGGUCCUCUGCAAUUUCUUUGGGGGUGACACCAAAGGAACAGAAGGCACUGGGGGAACCAAUAGGAAAAUUAGUUUAAUUAGUCAAAUUAACUUAAUUAGCAAAGAUAAUUCUCUUUGGAGCAAGCUUUGAAUAAAUCUGUGAUAAUUUUGUGAUUCUAUGAA